rnacentral:rRNA from 1 species
AUUGAACGCUGGCGGCAUGCUUUACACAUGCAAGUCGAACGGCAGCGCGGGCUUCGGCCUGGCGGCGAGUGGCGAACGGGUGAGUAAUACAUCGGAACGUGCCCAGUAGUGGGGGAUAGCUCGGCGAAAGCCGGAUUAAUACCGCAUACGACCUGAGGGUGAAAGCGGGGGAUCUUCGGACCUCGCGCUAUUGGAGCGGCCGAUGGCAGAUUAGCUAGUUGGUGGGGUAAAGGCCUACCAAGGCGACGAUCUGUAGCUGGUCUGAGAGGACGACCAGCCACACUGGGACUGAGACACGGCCCAGACUCCUACGGGAGGCAGCAGUGGGGAAUUUUGGACAAUGGGCGAAAGCCUGAUCCAGCAAUGCCGCGUGUGUGAUGAAGGCCUUCGGGUUGUAAAGCACUUUUGGCGGGAACGAAAAGGACUGUGCCAAUACCACGGUUCGAUGACGGUACCCGCAGAAUAAGCACCGGCUAACUACGUGCCAGCAGCCGCGGUAAUACGUAGGGUGCAAGCGUUAAUCGGAAUUACUGGGCGUAAAGAGUGCGCAGGCGGUUUUGCAAGACCGAUGUGAAAUCCCCGGGCUUAACCUGGGAACUGCAUUGGUGACUGCAAGGCUAGAGUGUGUCAGAGGGAGGUGGAAUUCCGCAUGUAGCAGUGAAAUGCGUAGAUAUGCGGAGGAACACCGAUGGCGAAGGCAGCCUCCUGGGAUAACACUGACGCUCAUGCACGAAAGCGUGGGGAGCAAACAGG